CUGUGGACACAUAAAGGGUUUUUUUUCUCUGAGGGACAACUUAUGUUCUAGAGAAAAAGCAGGAUGAUAGCACCUCAUUUGUGUGAUUACAUGUGAUGGAUCAAGUGUGGUGUGCAGAUUGGGAUCAAGAUCAGGCCCUUGUCCCUGUAACCAGCACUGCUAACAGCACUGGAAACAUACCUAAACAAUCACAACAAGAAUAUUGUGCAAUUGUCUGGCUUUGCUAUCAUUUUCCCUUGACAGGAAAUAUUAAAAAAAAAUGAAAUUA